AGCAACACUUGACAUAGAGAGAUCCUCCAUAUUUGGGCAUGCAUUGGUUGAUCUUAUCACUUGUUUGCUAGUGACUUAACUUAUUCUUAAAGUCAUCAAUCAUUUUCUUGUUUUCACCCUCAUUCUUUUGCCCUAAAAUUCCAGCCAUUAAAAAGCUCAUCAUCUAAAAAGCAACGCUUCUUAAUUAUUCCAUUGGCAUAUAUUUCUUCUGGAAAUUCUGAUAAUAUCCUUCAAUUGCCAUUACCACAUCAGAUCAUGUGUUUUAAUUUAGGUUACAAUUUCAAGGAUGGAAAGUUCGUUCGUGUGAAGAAAGUUGACGAUGGUGAUGAUGAUGGAGAUGAGGAAUUAGAAGAUCAGAAGGGCUUGCUUUCCAAGGAAAUACUGAGAUGGAGGAAACAACAUGAUGCGUUAAAUACUCAAGUAGAAGAAGCAAAAGCAUCAUCUUUCCCCAGUAAACUUUCCAAGUGCAGUCAUCAUUCUCCCUCUUCUUCAUGAUCAUAUAUAUAUAUAUGCAAGUUUUCUCCUCAAAUAUGUAUCUGAAAGAACAGAACUUUCUGAUCCAGUGUUUGUGUGAGCUUUUUUAUUUUUCUGUUUUUCAGUGAUUUUAAUUUAUUCACCCUUGAUUUUAUUUUUUCUUUUUGGUAAAAUAAAAUUUAGGGUAAUUUAUAACAAAAUUCAUGAGGUUUUACAAAAUUUACAAUUUAAUCCUAUCAUUUUAGUAAUAAAUAAUAUAUUCUCUAACAUUUCUUUAUGUUAAUAAAAUAGUCUUUUUAUUGA
rnacentral:lncRNA from 1 species